ACAGGAGAAGGCAACAACUACGUUGAUAGAGUGCCUGCCAUCCAUCUUCACCAGCCUGAAGAGGGAGGCUGGGAAACGAAAUUAUGUAAGGGCAGCUGGUCUAGCAAAGUUCACACAGGACCACCGCUUUGUGAUGUUCCUUCACAUGAUGGCUGAUGUUUAGCCUCACCUAACAGAACUGUUUGUUGCCAUGCAGAAGCUAAAGGUCUUCAACCCCCGGAAGUUCCUUGGGGGGAGACAACCUGCCAUGGGGAAAAUGGCAUUAAGGACCUGGCUGAGCACUUCCAUCUUCCAGUAAACAAGAUCUUAAGUGAGUGGAGGCAGGUGCGGAACACACUGAGAACCCGGUAGGAGAGUAUGUCAGGGAUGGUUUGCUGCAAGCUAAGCAGGCUAAAGAUGAUUGAAAAGAUUAUGUCCAGACCUAUGGGAACUAUACAAGAUGGGUUUGUGGAGCAGGGAUAGUG